rnacentral:tRNA from 1 species
GGGGAUAUAGCUCAAGUGGUAGAGCGUGUGCUUAGCAUGCAUGAGGUCCUGGGUUCAAUCCCCAGCACCGCCA